rnacentral:rRNA from 1 species
UACGGAGGGAGCAAGCGUUGUUCGGAAUCAUUGGGCGUAAAGGGCGCGUAGGCGGUCCGGUAAGUCGGGUGUGAAAGCCCCGGGCUCAACCCGGGAAGUGCAAUCGAAACUGCCGGACUUGAGUACGGGAGGGGGAAGUUGAAUUCCUGGUGUAGGGGUGAAAUCCGUAGAUAUCAGGAGGAACACCGGUGGCGAAGGCGACUUCCUGGACCGAUACUGACGCUGAGGCGCGAAAGCGUGGGGAUCAAACAGG